AUGUCAGUGGAAAAGAUGGGAAAGCACAUCAGCAUAUCAGGAAAUUGGUCGAAAAGUAUGAAAAAGAAAUGCAAGCUGAAGACUCAUUGCACUCUGUGCCAGGGCUUUCAAAAACUUCAACCAAUCACUGGAUUAGUUCUAGUCUUCAACAGUAAAAUGUAUAAAUAUUUAUUGAUUGAUUUUCUUUUUAUUUUUUUUUUAUGUCUAAUUUUUUUUAUUAUUAUUUUCAUGGGGGUGUAGAACGUAGACUAGGACAUUCCACAUUGCAGGCCUUCCUUACCCAUUUGGGUUUGAAUUAAAUCCAUUUUAAAGCCUUUCUAUACAUAAUGUAAUUUGCACCCUACUACUUGGGUGAACUCUGUACAGUUGUGAAGGUAAGCAGAUAGUUUGGUUGAUUUGAACUACUUAAAAUGAGCAAAAGCCAGUCAGUCAAACUGAUAGAGUAAGUCAAACCCAAGAUCAGUGGAAGUCAAUUCAUGUAGCCUAGCCUAUGAAGUUCCAUCAUUUCAACUUUAAGUGUGUGUAAAAUAAGUCAAACGACUUUAAUCUUUAUAUCAGUUGUUCAAUUUUCCUCCUUAAAUCCAUUUUGUAUUGCUAAAAUUAUCAUCCGAGCCCCAAUCGUUUGAGUAGCUUUAUCUGACAGUAACAUUCUAAAAAUGGAGAGCCCAUCUUUGACAAAAAUGUGUUUGAUUCAGUUAUUAAUGCAGUGACUGCUCGUUUAAAUGUGGGAUGUAUGCCGAUGGCAACAUCUUAUCCACUAUCGUAGGGCGGUUGUGUGAUGAAUCGUGCCAACAUCUAGCAUUAUCUUAUUUGUAUUUGUACAUGAACCUGUUAAUUAUAUCUUAAUUAAGUCGUGUUUCCUAGAACAGAUAAAUUUCUUCUGUUUUGUUUUUUCCAUUUCAUAGUAAGAGGGAAACUAUUUGAUUGUCGAUGAGCAGUUGCUUGCGUUAAGUCAUUGUUCAGGAAUGAAUAGUUGCAUUCAAUUUCAUACGAAAGUAGAAUGAUUUGUCGCAAUGCUAAUGUACCAAUCUAUGCUAUUAUUUUUCAGCCAUUUUUUGGUGAAAAAUGUGCGCUAAUUGAUUUCUUUCUGUUCUUUCUUCAUCUCUGUCUCAAUCCCUCUGUUAUUAGUUCAUCCCGGCACAUUUGUUGUUUAUUGAUUACAAUUCAUCAUUUUGUUCUUUUCAUCCAUGAUUUACUUCAAAUUAUAAAACAUAUUUUGUUAUUAUAUUUAUAAGAGGAUGAAUCCCAUGGUUUUUCUUUUUUACCUAAAGCUGCCUAUUGGUUUUCGGGAAGCUAUCGUAACAGGUCGCAAUAAGUCGCAACAAUGAGAAGAUCUUACAGAUAGCAAUUAGAGUUUGAAGCUGACAACACUAAGCUGUUGCCGUGUGCACCAGGGCCAAGCAAUCCAACGAGUAGACAUAACGCAUAUCGUAUCGAUUCGAAGUACAUGCAGUUCCUUGCACAUCAGAUCCCUAUAUCAAGGUGUGAUGGUGAAACUCCCAAACGGCGUAUCUCGGUUUGUGAUGUCGUAAGUUCCUGUCAAAACUGUAUUUUGUCAAUAGAACUACUCAGUGUCAAUUCUUUAAAACUUGCGUGAUAUUCUUUCCCGUGCCAAGAAGAAAAUUCUGAAAAAUACUUCAAGGAAUGAUUGUUGAUUCCUAAAAUGAUAGUGAAGAUGUGGGAAACUCCGCCCACGAGAUAAGUGGUGCGGAAGUUUCGCCGUUGAUAUCUCUUUCAAAGUCUCUUCAUCUCUCGCCCUCUGUCAGUAAUCUAUUAAACCAGCUUCACUACAACAUUAAGUUUUUGCAAUUCUUUUGUCUCUGACAAUACUUACAACCUAUCUAUGUGAUCCUCAACCCAAUUGGUUUCAACAGAAGUCUUGAUUCUUCCCACUGUCAGAAAAUUGCAUAAUUAGCUUAUUUUUGAAUACACCUCUGUAGGUAAAACUCAGGUAAAUUGUAGCAAUCUGUGACCCGAGAGACAACAAACACAGC
rnacentral:lncRNA from 1 species